rnacentral:rRNA from 1 species
GAAUCUGAGAGUUUGAUCCUGGCUCAGGACGAACGCUGGCGGCGCGCUUAACACAUGCAAGUCGAACGGGACCUUCGGGUCCAGUGGCGCACGGGUGAGUAACGCGUGGGAACCUGCCCUGAGGUACGGGACAACAGAGGGAAACUUCUGCUAAUACCGUAUGAGCCCAUUUCUUUAGCGAGUGAUGGGGAAAGAUUUAUCGCCUUGGGAGGGGCCCGCGUUGGAUUAGCUGGUUGGUGGGGAAAGAGUGUA